GUGAUGAACUGAAUGUACUGUUAGCCACAAGUGAUACAUUCGUUGAACUUCUUCGUUCAUGAUCCGUUAGCCAAGAGUGAUUCAUUCGUUGAAGUUCUUCAACCGCGAUCCGUUAGCCACAAGUGAUUCAUUCGUUGAACUUCUUCGUUCGUAAUCCGUUUAGGAGUGAUGUACUAGUGACAACAACAGUAUGGUGGGUGAACAGGAAGCCCGGGUGCUGGUGUCAGAAUGCAUACAAGUUUCGCCGGCCAGCGGGAGCCUGUGUGGAUGGAGAGGGGACGCGGAAGGAUGUAUGCGGUAGCUGAGCUCGCCGCACACAUGUUCACGAGUCACAACCGAAGCCGGGUGUUCAGGAGCUUGCUGAGAGCGAGAGAUAGGCCCCCAUAUGUUGCCCCCAGCCUCACCUGCUGUGUCCUGCCCAUGAGGAAGCCGUACAUCCACUGGCAGAUGGCAGGCGAGACGUUGAGCUGGAGAAGCUUGGAGGAGAGGAGUUUGAGGAUGAUGGUGUUGAACGCAGUGCUGAAGUCCAUGAACAGGAUCAUUGCAUAGGACCCUGCGCCGUUGAGGUGUUCCAGAAUGUAGUGCCGUCCCAUGUUGACUGCGUCAUCCACAGACUUGUUUUCUCGAUAGACAAAUUGCAGGGGGUCCAGCAGGGGUCCUGGGACGCUCUUGAGGUGGUCCAGCACGAGGCGUUCAAAGGACUUCAUGACCACAGAUAUCAGGGCGACAGGUCUGUAGUCAUUCAGUCCUGAAAUUGCAGGUUUCUUGGGGACUGGUAUGAUGGUGGAGCGUUUGAGGCAGGAUGGGACUUAACACAGUUCCAAAGAUCUAUUGAAGAGCUGUGUAAGAACUGUAGUGAGCUGGUCCGCACAGACUUUCAAGCAAGAGGGGGAAACACUCUCUGGGCCUACCGCUUUGUUGUUUUUUUGUUGGAAAAGAUACGUCUCAUGUCCUGUUCAUGAAUAGUCAAUGCAGAAGAGGGAGUCAGAGGUGUGAUGGUGGUCGUCAGUGGUGGGGUGUGAAAGUGUCCUUUUCAAAUCUGCAGUAGAAGGUAUUCAAGUCGUCAUCCAGUUCUUAAUUGUUCUCCGCUUGGGGGAUGAUCACUUGUAGUUGGUCAGGGAUUGGAAUCCUCACCAAACUGACACAGAGUUGUUCGCAGCAAACAGGUUUUCCAGUGUAUCUGCAUAAUUUCUCUUUGCCAUGUUGAUUUCCUUUGUCAGAUGGUUUCUGGCUUGAUUGUACAGGGCUCUGUCCCCACUCCAAUACGCGUCCUCUUUAGCCUGGAGAGGUUUGGCACUGAACUACAGCUUGUUAUUGAAUGUUCGAAAUGUCUUUGUUGGUACACACACAUCUUCACAAAAACUGAUGUAGGAUGUAAUGUAUAUUCAUUCAAGCUGCCAUUGGAAGUUUCAGAGAUACUCCAAUAUGUGCAGUCUAAACAGUCUUGAAGUUUCAUUUCAUUAGCUUCAUUGGUCCACCUCUUCACUGUUUUCACCACAGGCUUAGUACAUUUAAGUUUGUGCCUGUUAAACAGUGAUCAGAUGAGCCCAAUGCUGCACGGGGAAUAGCAUGGUACAAGUCCUUCAGCGUUGUAUAGCAGUGGUCUGGAAUGUUGUUUUUCCUGGUGGGACAGUCAAUGUGCUGCUUGUAUUUAGGGAGCUCGUGAUUGAGUUUUGCUUGUUAAAGUCCCCAAGAAUAAUUAAGAGUGCUUUUUCUCAAGCUCUUUUUCUUGGUCAGCCAGCGUUUGCAGUGCAGCGUUCGGGUCAGCCUGUAGGGGGAUACCAACACCGGCGAGUAUGAAUUAAGUUAACUCGCGUGGAGUGUGGAAUGACUUACAGUUCAAAAACAGCAACUCCAAGUCCUGGCUGCAGUGUGUGCUGAGCUCCAUGACAUCUGUACACCAUGUAGGGCUGCAUCGGUUGCCAAAUACGGCGUUUGUCCUCUGACAUAUGAAAGCUUGUGUAUAUAGUGUGUUCAAAUGGGUUUUGUUCUGGAAUUCCCGAACAAAAUCUGGCACUCUUGAAUGAAAAUUAACAUGCAUUCAUAAACCGCUCACAGCGCCAGAUGACUGCAUUCUCCAUAACAUUAAUCAGACAGAAAUUAACUAAGUUCAGUUCACGUUCGCCCAAAAUAUGAAGUAGUUCAUGAACUUUCGUUCAACUGCACUCAUAGUUAACAGAAACGCUCUGCAGAGUGAACGUUAUGUUAGACUAACGUUUAUCUCACUGAUAUGCGCUAUGUUAAUUCUUCACUCGGGUCCCACAACCCGGCAUCUUCGGUGGAGAAAAAGGUCCGUGUUACAACAAACUCGCCUUGCAUUUUACUAUGAAUUGCUACCACACGUUCACCAUUUCUGUUGUGCUUUUUCUCUUCUCAACUCAGCCUCAAGUCGCAUCUUUCCACUAUGUUGCUGCUCCUUCAACCGAGCAACUUCCAAAAAAUUCCGUAUUCUACUUCCCAUGCAUCGGUGACGUAAAAGCGCAUUAUUUCACAUACGCCUCUUCGUGCUUCCGUCUUCGCGACCGUCUCCGCAGUAAAACUGUGAUUUGCCGUUUUGCUUUUAAAUGUGUUUUUCGAGGCGCAAAAUGCUUUUAACUCGCAAACUGCGAUCCGAGUCUGCUUAAUUUGAGCCGUGAUAUAACAGGAAUGUUGAAUGAUUAUGACGUGCCACGACACAUCUUUGCCACAGAAACAGGGAACAAUAUUUUCUCACGGGUUUACGUAGCACAUAUACGUUAACAAUUGUAAAGUAUUGUAGCACGCCGAGAGGUUAGUUUGUUUAUUAUAGGGCAACAAGAAGUAACAAAAAAUGACUCAGAUAGCACUUCGAGUGUGCCUCUCGCUCUAGAACCACACGCGUUUGAAGACGCAGCUGUAACAUAGCAUAAGGCCUUCCAAUACUACACGCCAAGACAUUAAUCCUUUUAUUUCAAAAAAUUUACAAAAACAACUCUCAGAAAGCACCUAACAUGUCUCUCGCGCUGCGGACUAAACCUUAUCACAGGCAUUUGAUAUCGACGGUUUUUAAGCCCUAAAAUUUUUUUAUUAAUUUAAAUAAAUUUCCACGUGACAUUAGGGAGAAAAAAUGUGACUUACAUCAGUUCCAGACACCCAACUGACAAGUUAUAUUCAAGUGGCAGAAGUUGUCCAACUUCCUGGCUAGGAAAAAAAAUUCUCCGCAGGGAAGAAAACAUUGGUGGCUAUCGGUACAUUUUCACCCCUCUCUUUUCUGUCCUCCUUCCCAUGAUGCAACGCAGUAAAAAAAUAAAAAUAAUUUUACAUUUACAUUUUUAGUAAAAAUGAAGGAUUACAGUAGUGCUUUAUUUUUUUCGUUUGUUUUUGCCCCCAUAUUGCAUUGCAUACAGUAAAAUGCUUCAUAAUUAAAAAUACAGUAUAAUACUGGUCCAAUCUUACAGGUAAGGCUUGUGGUGUAUGCUCACUAUGGAAAAUGCUUAACAUCGCUUAGUGUCACAAAACUGAGAUCGAUUGUUACCGAAAUCUAUGUGGACAUCUAUGCUUUUGCCCAUCUAUACGGGCAAUUUAGAGUCGUCAAUUUACCUACCAUGCAUGUUUUGGGGAUGUGGGAGGAAACCCACGCAGGCAUGGGAAGAACAUGCAAACUCCACACAAGCGAGGCCGGAUUUGAAACUGGGCCCUCAGAACUGUGAGGCACAUUGGCUAACGAGUCGGUCACCAUGUCACCUAAUUUGAAACAUCCAUCCAUCCAUCCAUUUUCUGAGCCGCUUCUCCUCACUAGGGUCGCGGGCGUGCUGGAGCCUAUCCCAGCUGUCAUCGGGCAGGAGGCGGGGUACACCCUGAACUGGUUGCCAGCCAAUCGCAGGGCACAUCGAAACAAACAACCAUUCGCACUCACAGUCAUGCCUACGGGCAAUUUAGAGUCUCCAAUUAAUGCAUGUUUUUGGGAUGUGGGAGGAAACCGGAGUGCCCGGAGAAAACCCACGCAGGCACGGGGAGAACAUGCAAACUCCACACAGGCGGGGACGGGGAUUGAACCCCGCACCUCAGAACUGUGAGGCUGACGCUCUAACCAGUCGGCCACCGUGCCGCCUAAUUUGAAACAGUAUUUAAAAAUAAAAUAUACUGUACAUGUUUUUUCAGAGGCUAUUUUUAAACAAAAAGCCUUCACUAUUAAUUUUUAUGAAAGUGGGUCGCAAAUUUGCAUCAACAGGAAAAUGUCGGUCCCAGGGUGAGAACAGUUGAGAACCACUGUUUAACAGGCGAGCAUGGACGUGCACAACUGAGAAAAUAAUUUUUUUAAAUAUUCUAUUUUUGCCUUCUUUUUUUUCUUCUAUUGUUUAGGUGGUUUUACAUGUAAAGGUGUUGCUCGCAAAUUGUCAGUACAGUAUUUAUUUUUGUAUCUAAAAGAACAGUGGAUAGUUGUAGUUAUUGAAUGAUGAUUGUCAAUAUUAAAGACACAUUGCAUAGCAGUUAAUUUUGUUUUAUAGAUGCCUGCAUGCUUUGUCAUUAUGCCUGCCUGUAGGAGCCUCCCCUCUCCCAGUGAGCAAUAGUUCACUCAUGAGUGUGCUGUGAGGCAUGGUGGGCGGGGGUGUGAACAGUGAUGGCGAGCUAAACCUGGGAAUCAAAAUUCUGAAUCGUCAUUAUUUGCCAAGUAUAUCAAAAACAAAAUACUAGACAGAAAUACGUCAAAGGUACUACAGAGAGUCACUUAACAAAAAAGGUUACCAAUAAUGUGAUCAUGCUGAUACAAUUACAGUUGUGCAAAUGAUGCAGUCCUCUAGCAAUUUAAUGGGAAGAGGGAGAAGCUGUUGGAAUGUCUGCUUGCUUGAGUUUGCAUUGCUCGAUAGGGCUGACCUGAGAGAAAUAGCUGGAAAAGGUGGUGCCCAGGAUGUGGAGGGUCCAAGAGGCAUGCAUCUUGUCUUAGUUCUGGCAGCGUGCAAGUCCUCAAGGCGUUGUCGUUUUUUCCGGGAGUCCUGAUUGUACGUUGCAGUCGGAGUUUGUCCUUUUCUAUGGCAGCACCAAACCACACUGUGAUGUACAAACACAGGACUGAUUCGUUGACUGCUGUGUACUGCCUCAACAGCUCCUGUGGCAGGCCGUGCUUCCUCAGAAGCCGUAGAAAGUACAUCCUCUGCUGGGCCUUUUUGAGGAUGGAGUUAAUGUUGGUCUCCCACUUUAGGUCCUGCGAGACUGUAAUUCCCAGGAACUUGAAGGUCUUGAUGAUUGACACAGGCAGAAUGCCGUGGAAAUCUUCUCUCGUGAUUGGUCCGUUUUAGUCACAUGCUGUGAUGACGUAUCAGCUUUCCCCUUGGUUCCUCAAUAACGCCAUUCCAACUUUCCUUUAGUGGCCGCACAUACCACCUACGCCACCAACUUUUUGAUCGAUUUUGCAAUAUAAUUAAACGCGUCAUUUAGUCAUCUCGGUCCAUUUGUACUAGCAGGCACUGUUCAACGGUCACCGUUGUUGUUGCUUUGUUCCUUGUUCCGGAAAGUAAAAACGACUACCGGAAUUGGUCAUAAAAUGCAGAGGAAACUCCACGCUGUGGUAUCCUAGCUAAUACCAGCCGUAGUGACACCCCGACUUGGAUGAGAACUGCAGCACAUUUUCAAAAUAGCGCGCGUGGGUUGCUCUCGAGUAUAAAGGCAAACUGCGUGCGGGAUAGCCACAGCGACGUCAGCGACGUCGCCGCCCACACGAGUAUAAAAAAGCCUUUAAACAGUUCCACAAUAAGAACCUUACACAGUACCGGUACGUGGUUUUGCCAAGACAAGACAAACAUGUAUACAGUACACUGUUGCUGAGGCUGAGGCUUUGGCUAUGCUGCAAAGUAUGGACCAUUGUGACUCAGAUGGAGGGGAGAGUUCAGACUGUGACAAUUUUUUCAGGUGAUGAUGUGUUCCUGAUGGGAGAGCAAAACUCCUACAGUGAGAAAGCACUUGAGGGGGUUUUCUACCAACUAGCCCAGGAACUUUGAGUUCCUGUUAGAAAAAGGUUCCUGAGGCCCAUGCGGUUUGUGUUUCCAUCUCAUUUAUUAGUUAGUUCGUUAUGUUAGUUAGAUUCUUAGUUCAAGGUAGAUUUAGAAAAUGAGGCUGAUGUUGCUAAAUACUGACAGCUACAGGAUCUAAAAAUAUGCUGGUAUUUCAAGCUUUUCAAAUUAAUGUCUUAUUUUAUAUCUUAAUUUAAAUAUCAAAUAUUUUUUAUAUUUAUUCAGGUGAGGCAAUUGAGAACUGAUUGCCAUUUGCAAAGCCAAUCUGGCUGCAGAUGGUCUUCGAGGUAGAGUUUUAUUAUAUACAGGUACAUUAAAUAAAUUUGAAUAUACUUUUUUUCUAUUUUAUUAAGAUGACAUACCUAAAUAGAUUGUGCAACAGAAACGUGCAGGUGUCUAUGGAUGUGAUUUAUUAGCUGGAAAAUGCAAUAGGGACAUGACUUUUAUGGUUCUUUUAUUCACCAUGUGCUUUGAUGUAAUGUAAUUUUUCACUUGUUACUAUAUCAGAUUGUACAGUUUGUAUAUGUAGUUGCUUCUAUUUUGCUUUGUUUUACUCUGCUGUCUGUAGCCAGGUUGGCAUGGCAAAUACCUGACCUGUACAAGGUUUAAAAAAUAAAUAAAAACUACACGUCUUCAUACUCUUGGUAAAUACAGCAGUUUUAAGUAUUUGGUAUCUGUAAAUGUGUUUGCAUAAAAAAAAAAAAAAAACUGUACAUUGUAAAUAUUUAUUUGUGAACGUACAAACACAGACAAAAAGCCAGGCUUCAUUUCCUUGUCUUGCCUUAUGGCAAACGCAGCAUUUUUCUGCAGGCUGGAGGAGCUCCUGCCUGGGAACGUUUUUUAUUUAUUUUUUCCCAUGCCACUGACUGGAAUGGACCAUCAGAGCAUCCCCAGCGGCGGUGUUCUCCUCUGGCCUGGUCGAGGAAGACACACACGCCCGCUUGGGUCCGGACCAACGCUCCUUUGUGGGACUGAGUUAGCCAGCGGUGGACCUUGCCGCCAGAGCAGCAGUGGAUCGCGCCGCUGAGCCUGUGGCAGUGGCGGAUUUCUCUGUGGCAAAGGCUGCUGCUCGGGGGGAGCCCUGCUUUGGCCUGGCAAAGUAAACUCUGCGAGCACAGAGUUUUUCCAGCCUGCUUCAUGUCCACCAAAUGCGGUUCAGCAGGAAAACGUAAAGUGGCCCAAUGGUUAAGAUCAUCGCCUGCCACCGUGGGGGACCUAGGUUCAAAACCCCGACUGGACCAUCCGCCAACAUCCCCCGGACUCACGGCUGUGGUGUCCCUGAGCAAGACACUGAUACCCCGAAAUGCUCCCCGGGCGCUUCAGCUGCCCCCUGCUCCAGUGUGUUCCACUAACAUGUGUAUGUGUUCACUGUGAUGGGUUAAAUGCAGAGAACAAAUUUCGUGUGCAUGCAUGC